ensembl:lncRNA
AAAACCGAAAGUUACAGCUUUACCGCUGAAAAAGUAAAAGAAAAGAAAAAAAAAAAAAACACCUCCACGUAAAAAGCACCAAGGACGAAGCUGGAGACCCCGUCCUGUAGAAGAGUCAGAGGACGUUGUUGCCUAGUUACGCACACUGUAAUAAACCGUCGACAAACUCCACCUUGCAUUUCAGCUUUUCAGUAAUUAUUCCUUAUAUAAUUUAUACUACAUCAUUUAAUGCACCUUUCCCGUGAUUUAUUUUUCCACAGUUCAUUUACACCUCUCACAAAACUCCUCCUUAUUCCCGCCCUCUCUCUCUCCCUCCCUCCCUCCCUCCCUCCCUCUUGGCCAAUAUAAGCUGAAAAAUUGUCAGCUUCGACAAUCUACCGGAAAUAGUAGACCAUCCGGGUGGUUACCUUUGGGAUACUGAUUUCAACAUACUAUGAUUUAGGACACUAUUUAGGCGAAUUGAGACGCAGCGUGCGAGUGUGGUGGUGAAGGUGAUUGAGUCCAGGCAUGCGUGAUCAGUAAUCAGCAUUAACGCGGCAUGCUAACACCCGGGCCGUGCUGACAGGGCGUCGUCACUGCAGCAGAUUUUGCAGCAAUGCUUUGUGGGAAGGACCGCCAUUCCAAAGCACAUGUUCGGGACACACCUCAACAAAGUCAGA